rnacentral:lncRNA from 1 species
UGGGCCCAGUGCCCUUGGCCAUCCCUGGCCAGCCUACAGCAUCCCCCUUCCUCCCCAGCUUCUCCAUGGCCUCAGGAUGGGACCGAGAUGAUGUUUGAUGCCCACGGGGACUUGGUUUCAAAAUCUGACAUUCUGCAGGGGCAGAAGACCCCUGAGGGCUGAUUCCGCUUGGUCCACAGAGAUGAGAUGGACCCUCGAGCCUCUUCAGGGAGCAGAAUGACAGUCCACCUGCAGGAGGAUCUCCAGGUGCCCAGCUCUGACUGCAGCAGGAAUUGUGCUCCAGGUUCAGCCAGACCCCCCGACAGGGAGCCCCUCAUGGCUGUUUCCAGGGCAGCCCCUGCCCUGAGGCCAGUUUGCAGACCACACAGACGUGAAGCAGUGUCUUAAGUGCCCAGAGACCGCUGCGUGCCCAGGGCAGAGACCUUCCUGACUU